rnacentral:lncRNA from 1 species
CGUGGGGCCCAGCCCCACUCGCUGCCCCCCUGGGGGCUUUCCCCCCCCCCCAGGUGCCUGGAGGCGCUGAUGCUGGCGGGCCACGCGCAGUGCGUGCUGGUGGACGCGGCGGCCGAGCUGCCCAGCCUGGCUGAGCUGCAGCUCGCCUACCUCAAGCUGCGGGCGCUCUGCCUGCCCGGUGAGAGCCGCCGGGGGGGGGGACACCGGGCCCCCGGGCCCCCGGGUCCCUUCCCUCGCCGGACGCCGCCGUUUUCCCGCGCCCUUUCAGACUCGCCGGUGGCCGACGACAAGUGGCUGUCGGCGCUGGAGGGCACCCGCUGGCUGGACCACGUGCGGUGAGCGGGGGAAGCCGGGGAGAACCCCCUCCGCGGCGGGCGGCAUCCGCCCCGGGGUGCCGGGGGGGUCCGGGGCGCUCGAGGCAUCGCCGCGCUCCCCGGCAGGGCCUGCGUGAGGAAGGCGAGCGAGGUGGUUUCCCUGCUGGCCGCGAGACGCUGCUCCGUCGUCUUGCAAGAGCCGGAGGACCGCGACCUCAACUGCCUGCUGGCCUCGCUGGCGCAGCUGCUGGGGGACCCGCACGCCCGCACGCUGCCCGGCUUCCAGAGCCUGGUGCAGAGGGAGUGGGUGGCCGCGGGACACCCCUUCGCCCGCCGCCUGGGCCUCGGCCGCCCCAGCCCGCGGGACGAGGUGAGAGCCGGGCGCGGGGCGGGGAGGGGGGACGCGGCCCCCGCCGGCGCCUCUGCAACCAGGGCGCGUGUGCCGCAGGCGCCCGUUUUCCUGCUUUUCCUGGAUUGCACCUGGCAGCUGGUGCGGCAGUUCCCCGGCUGCUUCCAGUUCACCGAGAGCUACCUGCUGGCACUGCACGACAGCAGCUUCGUGCCUUACUUCAGCACCUUCCUCUUCAACUGCCAGUGGCAGCGGGGCCGGAGCGGCCAGGUGAGCGGCGUCCCGGCAGCGCCGUGCCUCGGUUUCC